rnacentral:lncRNA from 1 species
UUGCGAAAAGGAAGGAGGCUAAGAGUCGUAUAUGUCACACUCUUGAUGUGUGUGGUAUUGUGUCAUAUAUCACUACUCUCCAGUAAGUCUUAAUACCUGCUAUCCUACUCAUGUGAACCCACGGAGCCCUCUCUCUCUCUCUCUCUCUCUCUCUCUCACCUCAUCCCCCCACUCCUAGAAGUUGGUCAUUGGUCUCCCUUUUCCCUUUAGUACAUGGGAGAUAAGUUGUCACAAUUGUCAUGUUUACUUAAUUAUAAUUCCCACUCAACUCCCACUGCCACUUUAUUUCUCUCACUCAUUCUUUCCUUCUUUCCUUUACUGACAAUCAUAGGCACCACCUCUCUCUCUCUCUCUCCCUCUGUCUCUCUCUAGCAAUAUAAAGAAGAGGCGGUGGAGGAGGUAGAUAGCCAAGCGAGCAUGAACAUGAAUCCACAAGAUAUAUGUGACAGUGGCCUCUCUCUGGGGCUGGGCAUUG